rnacentral:rRNA from 1 species
UACGGAGGAUCCAAGCGUUAUCCGGAUUUAUUGGGCUUAAAGGGUGCGUAGGUGGCCUGGUAAGUCAGGGGUGAAAGACGGUAGCUUAACUAUCGCAGUGCCUUUGAUACUGCCGGGCUUGAAUGAACUAGAGGUAGGCGGAAUUCCGGGUGGAGUGGUGAAAUGCGUAGAGAUCCGGAGGAACACCAGAGGCGAAGGCGGCCUACUGGGCUGCACCUGACGCUGAGCCGCGAAAGCCAGGGGAGCGAACGGG